rnacentral:rRNA from 1 species
CCUACGGGAGGCUGCAGUGGGGAAUAUUGGACAAUGGGGGGAACCCUGAUCCAGCCAUGCCGCGUGUGUGAAGAAGGCCCUCGGGUUGUAAAGCACUUUCAGUGAGGAAGAACGCCUGGUGGUUAAUACCCAUCAGGAAAGACAUCACUCACAGAAGAAGCACCGGCUAACUCCGUGCCAGCAGCCGCGGUAAUACGGAGGGUGCGAGCGUUAAUCGGAAUUACUGGGCGUAAAGCGCGCGUAGGUGGCUUGAUAAGCCGGUUGUGAAAGCCCGGGCUCAACCUGGGAACGGCAUCCGGAACUGUCAAGCUAGAGUGCAGGAGAGGAAGGUAGAAUUCCCGGUGUAGCGGUGAAAUGCGUAGAGAUCGGGAGGAAUACCAGUGGCGAAGGCGGCCUUCUGGACUGACACUGACACUGAGGUGCGAAAGCGUGGGUAGCAAACAGGAUUAGAUACCCUUGUAGUC